GUCAAAGCAGAAAAAUGUGUGGAUUGUGAUUAUGUGUGUGGACUUGUGUGUAUAAGCGUGUGUUUGCAAUUGUGUUCUGUUAAUGUGUACAAUUGUUUGAUAUUUAUGGAGUAGUUGUGUCAUGUGUUUGUCCAUGCCUUAGUCUUGUACACCUCCAUCUUCCUCUUCCUCCGUGUGUUUUUUGCGUGGCUUAGAACCCAUAACUACAGUCGUUCCUUUAAAAUUCCAAAUUCUACCGGAGUGUGCUUACUCCUGCAGAUCAUGGAGAGAUAUUGUCCAUGGUGGCCUGCUGAUGAGGCAUAAGGCAUUUACAAGGAUUCUCCUAUUUGUGGUCCUGGAAUUCUUAAUGAGCUUCACACUACAAUUAACUAAAGCAAGGUAUCACGAACUUUUGUCAGUUCUACUAAUUUAGUUAUAACCGGGAUCUAAUUUAUCUUAAUUUUAGUAGGAAAGAAUCACUUGAUUACCAGGCCGUUGAGGUCCUGAUUUUUGCUGUUUGGUGUAAUUCCAUCUUGUCUUCUGUAUAUACGGGCACUCGGUCGGACACUUGUAGCCGGAUUUUGAUCUUGUCUGUGCAAUUACUUUCUCUGUUAACGCCCUUUGCGCAUGUAAAAAAAGAGUAUUAAAUGAGGUUGCCAAUACUUAUGGAGAGGGUGCACACAUGAUAAUUGAGGGAAUCAACUUUUUUUGUCAUUCUCAUAGAGUAGACCAGCUCACCUAUGUGGCAAUUUGCACAUAUGUGAGUAUAGUUAUUGUGUUAGUAAUUCUGAUUAUUGUUGUAAAUUCGAGCUAACAUUUUUUAAUGUCUUGUAUAUAUGAUGGUCAAGUGUGUUAAAUUCAGCAAGCAAUACAAAGCUACUAUUAAAGGUCAUCCUUUAAUCAAAGAGACAUGGCCAUUAGUCUAGAUGAGAGUUAGCUUAAUAUACUCAAAUCUAUGUAUAAAUAAAACUAUAAUGUUUUUUUUUUGAAGAUAAACUAUAAUGAUACACACACACACACACACACACACACACACACGUGUGUGUGUGUGUGCCUAUUGACUUGCAAUAAUUUUUUUAAAAAAACAAGAAACUAUAGUGCUCUCUCCCUGGAUCAACAAUAUUCAUAAUCGACUCAUUUCUAACUUAUAGGAGUGUGUGAGUUUGUUUUUAGAAGUUUUCCUAAAACACUGCAACCAGUGGCAAGUGGAUGAGCGCAUCAACAUCAAAACUUGAACUAACAGUCAAAAGGUGAGUCCAGUGAGUAACGCCUCAUGGUCGGCGCAAAACAUAUGAUCCCUUCUCCUGUGCUUGUAAGAUUAGGUUUUUAAGUCAGCUCUAGAUAUAUAUUCCCAGUAAUUGAUUGUAUUGUUUACUCUAAUUUCUUUGUAUUGGUGCAGAAUAUUCAAAUAUUUAAGGAUGUCAAAUGAUGCAGUGAUGCAAUAUAGGAGCUUGAGAAAGUGGUGAUCAUUUAUAAAGUAGUUAAAUAUAGGAAAAAUGGUUUACUUUUAUCUUUUCAGAUCCUAAUCUUCUAUCUGUUUCAUUUGUGCAGAGUGCAUUUUCAUGGUUAUGUGAUCCUUUUGUUUAAAUUGUUUAGAAUUUUUGAUUCGUUUGAUAUGUGGUUUGUAGGCUUGGUUGAUCUUAAACACAUAAAAACCUAGAUUCAUUCUGGUCUCUAAGACCCUGUAAUUUUUUUGUCUACAAUUUACUACAAGGUAGCUCCAUUUUGCCCUAUUUUUGUGUCCAUAAUAAAUAAAAAUAUGAUUUAAUUUGAAGGCUUGUGCCUCGCACGAGCUUUUAUGCUAAUCAACAUAUUCUAAAUUCCUGCUAAUACCCAUUCAGCAUAUGGAUUUUUUUUCCUUACCCGACCCGGCAGUUAUCCUCCUACAAAUAUGGCAGCGUUCCUUUUUCCUUUAUCUUUUCCAAAUUUCAAAUCUCCCCCGUUUCAAAAACGUCGGAUUAGACUACUCUCAUGGGAUUAAACUGCUUUCAAACUUUUUUUUUUUGUCAGAAACUGCUUUCAAACUUAUUUUCUCUCGACCCGGUCUUAGUUUCAGUUUCCACAAUUUCAGCCUUCAUAUCUGCUUGCCAUAUCCUUUGGAGAGCAGUUUACGCACAUUGUUUUCAUUUUCAUUCUUUCAAACACUGCAAUACGUUAUGUCUGCACUGGAACUGAUUUCAUCCGCACAUUGUUUUCAUUUUCAUUCUUUCAAACACUGCAAUAUGUUAUGUCUGCACUGGAACUGAUUUCAUCCGAAGCUUGCAGCUAUUUGGAAGGAAGAUGGUCAGUUUUUGCAGAAAGAUGAUAAUAGGAAAAAGAGAAGUUACAUAAUUAUGAAAAAGCGAAGGUGCAGGAAUCAAUAAAAAACAAAAUCACGGGUUUCCAUAAACAACUUAAACACGAUAAUCAUCUUUAACAUAUCCUUAUAUUCAAGUUUUUGCCGGGUUACAAUGAAUUUGAUAUCAAGUGUCAUUCUACUUGUGAUUCGAGUAGUCGGAUGCAUUCGAGAGCUCUGUUGCAAUCCUGCGGACUUCGUAUGGCGGCAAUAAAAAAUUUCAAUUCUGAAUACCACCCUUUCAGAAUUCGAUUUUAAUGGAACCAUUACAAGCAGUAAUUCUACAAAUGUUUCCACAAGCAUUCCUGUUGCAAACCAAGGUACAGUGUUUCGCGAGAAAAAUACCUUGAUUAAUGAGGAAGGAAAAUUAAAUAACUGCUUCGUGCCUUUUGCGAGAAAACUAUUCUGACACCCUCGCAAAGAAGAUUAAAUUGUAUUAAUCUGCAAGAUGUGGCGAAACAUAGUUCCUGCUUGGGGAACAUUCGAAACAAGGAUGGGAUUCUUCGUUCUCGGUCAAAGUUUCAAUUCCUGCUUCAACAAUACAAAGGAACAAUCUGCUGAUUACAUGCGCUAUAGGCGCCAACUUGAAAGCAUGCAUAAUGGGAUUAUCCAGAUUGAGUACACUGAUAAUUGGUGGGAUGACAGUUCAGUGUACACUUGGUAAUGGGAUGGCAGGAUCUUCUAUUGAUUCCACAUUAACAACCAAAAGAGUGGCAGUGAUGGCUGGUAUCUGCCCAUUUGGCAAUGUAGUAGAGGGUCCUUCCACUGGUGCCUCUUUAGGAUCAUCAAUUUUAUGUGGAUCAGAUGCCACUGGCUAUUGAAUGGGAAUUGAGUGUCUACUUCCUCGAGAUUCCUAGCUGAGCUGGCACAACCAAUUGUAAUGCCCGGCAACAAAAGAUACAGAAUUCUCAUUCUGGGAGAAGAUUCUACAAAGGCCUACAAGUUUGUUCUCACGGAUCGAGCUGCAAAGAGGUUGAUUGGAUCCAGUGCAACAAAACUCAUUGCAUAUAUGGCAUGACACCACAUGUCUUUCCAACUAAAAUUAAGGAUAACUGUGAUAGGGACCUUAAGCUGAAGUUGCUUAUUUCUGAGGAUAAUAUCAAGUCAGUUUAGUCGACUCUACUUUGCUACAGACGCCUAUUAAGCUGGAAUCGCAACUCCAACUAUGUCUGAAGCCACUGUGGGUGCUUAUGGGAAUUCAGAAAAUUCGGAGCCUUAUGUUGCACAUUUGGCUACUGGUAAUACACCGGACACAGUAUUUUCUACAACCAAGAAGAUCAAAAUGGUAUCACCGUAUUCUGUUUGGCCUAUAUAUCUAGGAGCUUUAGAUUGUACGACUUUUGCGACCAGUUUAGCAUGGCUCUUAGACUUGAUCAUCAACUUUGUGGCUUUCCUGUUUAAAUCAAAUCAUUUUCUCGCAUUCUACAAGACUAUUUUAUUUCAGAUGUCUCUAGAUAGGGCUUUCAUAAGUUUGAUUUCUCACAUUGAUGACUGUUUCCAUAAGACUUUUUUUAUUUAAUAUUCCAAGUGUUUUUUAGUUUAAUGAUUCUCCUUCAUGCCCCAAAAGUAGUUUACAUUACUCAUUUUCCUAUAUUUAUAUUGCGUUGAAACUUAAUAAAUAAAAUUGCAUGAACUCCUGACAAAAAAAAAGUAAAAAAAAAAAAUGCAUGAACUGUGAUACAUCACAACUCAUUUGAGAUCAAGGCGUGACUAUAAAUAAAAUUAUAAUCAUCAAAUAAAGUAAAAAAAAAACAUUAUUUCAAAAUUCGCCGUGUGCGAAGCACGGGCAUUAGGCUAGUUAUAUUAUAUGGACAAAACAAAAGGCGCAUCUUAUUACAUCUUUUCAUGAGCUAAAUAGAAUAUACAUAUAACACUUAAUUAUAUAAUAAUAUAAUAAAUAUUUCCACUGUUCAAACUCAAGACAUGUCUGAUUUCCAGAUAAUGCUUGACAGAUACUCUGUUUAUCUUCUCCAAGUGUUUCAACUAUAUUGUAAUGUUAUUGUAUAUAAUUUUUUUUAUAAAUAAUAAAUGUUGGUGGUAGAGACCUUCACAUUUGCCUCGUCAAUUGUAUAAAAAAUUAGUGUAUAUUUUCUAACAGUUUGGUUUACUUUCUGCAGUGGCUCUUUCUAGAUUGGAUGCAAUGUUGUAAUAGGAAACCCCAAUAAGUUGGAAUGACACAAUAUCAUGACAUAUGACAUUGUUAUUUCAGCACUUGGAAAAAUUUGUCGAUUUUAUCGUAACAAGUUAAAUUCAGCCCAGGUUGUGAGAAAGAACUGGUCUAAGAAUCUUCAAAUUUCUGAUUGCCAAAAAGCAAGUUGAGGAAAGUUGGCUACAGUUUCAUGAGGAUACGAGACAAAGAGUGAGGCAUCGUCGUGUUUGUCAAGUACCAUCAGCGCCUCAGUUUCCUCUGCACAGACCUUCAAGACUACGGAAAAAAACAAGGCGGAGUACUCCUCACCUGCACAGACGUGCUGAUUCCAUCAUGAAUCUAUUGGCUCAUUGUGGUGGUAUUUCUAAAAUUAGGAUUCGUCAGUUUCUUGGUGAUGGUCCUGAUACCAGCAAAGCGUUAAGAAUGUCAGAUAUCCUCUCUCAUUCUCUGGACAAACAUACUGUAAGGCCUGUUUAAUAAAUAAAAGAUGUUUAAUAUUUUGCUGGUGUUGGAGGUUAAUGAAACAAGCUGUUGUGAAGAGGUUUGGAGCUGGGGGGCGAUGUGACCCUUAUAUAUACAUGAUAGCAUGAUGUGGCAUUUAGUCUUCGCAUUCCAUGCCCAUGGCUUAUGUUGUAAAUAUUUGGUAUUUGAAAACAGAGGAUGUACCUUUGAGGCAAAGAGGCAGGCCAAGAUCCACUGUAGCCGAAGACGUCAUGGUUCGUGAUGGAUUAUUAAGUCCUGGGGUUAAUGCUUCUGAAACAACAAUGAUACCGGACGUCAGACCUUCGAUACGCGUUCUAACCCCAUUCCACCUACAGUCUUAAUGCAAGAGGAAGAGCCCAGAAAAGGGUCGUUGAAAUAACAAGGAAUGGUUUGCGCUUCUACAAGGGGAGGAAGAACAAGUAAAAGUAUAGUCUUCGGUGUAUAUCUGUCUUUGUGUUAGGUGGUAUAUGUACAACGGAUUUACGCAGUAAAGGAAUUUAUGGCUUUUCUUAAAUUGAAAUUAGGCCAUAGAAAACCUUCUUGUACAAACACAAAGUAAAGACGUCAUUAAAGUCUAUGAACUGAUCCAGGAAAAAAAAAAAGGCAAAUCAAUGUAAUAGACUGCUAUGCUUCGACAUC